rnacentral:lncRNA from 1 species
UGUGUGGAUUCUCUGAUGUUCUUACCACCCCUAUUACUUUUAUAGGAUUUAUCACCAACAUGGAUUCUGUGAUGAACUGUAAGAUUUGAUCGCCAACUGAAGCUCUUACCACAUAUCUCACAUUUAUAAGGUUUCUCCCCAGUGUGAACUCGCUGAUGAGACUGUAGUUGUGAAGACCGACUGAAGACUUUACCACACACAUCACAUUUGUAUGGUUUCUCUCCUGUGUGGACACUCUGAUGAAGUUGAAGACUUGAGGCCUGACUGAAGUACUUACCACACUCCCCACAUUUAUAUGGUUUUUCUCCUGUGUGCACCCUCUGAUGCAUGUCAAGGUUCAAGCUCCACUUGAAGCCCUUCCCACACUCAUCACAUUUGUAUGGUUUCUCUCCUGUAUGAACUCUUUGAUGGGAUUGAAGAUGUGAAUUCCGACUGAAGCUCUUACCACAUGCAUCACAUUUGAAUGGCUUCUCCCCAGUGUGGAGUCUCUGAUGGUCCUGAAGAUGAGAGGCCUGACUGAAGGCCCUCCCACACUCCUCACAAUUAUAAGGUUUCUCUGCCGUGUGGACCUUGCAAUGAACAUUAAGUGCUGAUCUACGACUGAAACCUUUCCCACAUUGCUUACAUUUGUAUGGUUUCUCUAUCACGUGGACUUUCUGAUGGGUCUGUAGAUGAGCGCCCUGACUGAAUUCCUUACCACACUCAUCACACUUAAGUUUUUCUCCCACAUGUACUUUCUGAUGAACAGGAAGAACUGGGCUGUAACAGAAGCCUUUUCCACGCUCAACACAUGUAAGAGACUUCUCUCCUGAUUGUAACUGCUGAUGAAGAUCAAAGCUGGAGAGAUCACUGAAGGGUUUUUUACACUCAUUACACUGGUACGAUUUCUGUCCUGUGUGAAUCAUGCUAUUGUGAUCAAAU